UGGGGAAUAUUGGACAAUGGGCGCAAGCCUGAUCCAGCCAUGCCGCGUGAGUGAUGAAGGCCUUAGGGUUGUAAAGCUCUUUUGUCCGGGAAGAUAAUGACUGUACCGGAAGAAUAAGCCCCGGCUAACUUCGUGCCAGCAGCCGCGGUAAUACGAAGGGGGCUAGCGUUGCUCGGAAUCACUGGGCGUAAAGGGCGCGUAGGCGGACUCUUAAGUCGGGGGUGAAAGCCCAGGGCUCAACCCUGGAAUUGCCUUCGAUACUGAGAGUCUUGAGUUCGGAAGAGGUUGGUGGAACUGCGAGUGUAGAGGUGAAAUUCGUAGAUAUUCGCAAGAACACCAGUGGCGAAGGCGGCCAACUGGUCCGAUACUGACGCUGAGGCGCGAAAGCGUGGGGAGCAAACA
rnacentral:rRNA from 2 species